rnacentral:rRNA from 1 species
ACCAUAGCGAGUUGGUCCCACUCCUUCCCAUCCCGAACAGGACAGUGAAACGACUUUGCGCCGAUGAUAGUGUGGAUUCCCAUGUGAAAGUAGGUCAUCGUCAGAC